rnacentral:rRNA from 1 species
UACGAAGGGUGCAAGCGUUACUCGGAAUUACUGGGCGUAAAGCGUGCGUAGGUGGUUUGUUAAGUCUGAUGUGAAAGCCCUGGGCUCAACCUGGGAAUUGCAUUGGAUACUGGCAGGCUAGAGUGCGGUAGAGGGUAGUGGAAUUCCCGGUGUAGCAGUGAAAUGCGUAGAGAUCGGGAGGAACACCAGUGGCGAAGGCGACUACCUGGACCAGCACUGACACUGAGGCACGAAAGCCAGGGGAGCAAACGGG